UCUGUUCUCACUCUGACAAAGAACGGGACGUGGGAGCAUGCGCAGUGAAUAUCUUUACAGAACAGAAAAGAAUCAUCUGCACGUCCUCGGCGCACCUCCCCAGCACAGCAGGGAAAGCACUGAUGUUUGGAGGUAUUUUCCCGCCAUCUUUUUCGCAUAAACAACACGGAGAGGCCCUCCGUACGUGCAUGUAAUCUUCCUUGUUCGCAUAACCUACAAGGAUACAGCCCCAAAUACAUAUCCGAACAAGACAACUUUAUUUGAGUGAUGAUACGAUUUGGCUGUUUCAUCGGCAGGGGCGAUACUCUACCCCAUUCCUCGCUGUAAUUUGGUUCAUGAGCCAGACAGAAUGACCACAUUGGAUUUUCUUCGAAGGCAUAUCUUGGAGAGUCAGCAUGUCUGCGGCGGUAACGUCGCUGAGCUGUAACAGCCACGCUUGAGUUGCAUCCGAUGAAUUCCUGACGAGAGGUAUAUUUCAUGGCAUCCGAAAAGUGAGCGUUGGAUCAACUCUUGCAAGCAUUGACGUGGAGAGAAUAUCGGCCAGGGACGACACUAAUCGUCGAAGAAUGGAAUACAUAUCAAAAAGUCACGCAACUAAUAAAAUGAAUAAAGAUCAGAAAUAGUCGAGAA